GCUAAUAUUGGGACCUGCCGCAGCAGCAGCAGCGGGAGACCGCGGCACUGCUGUCACCCCGGGGGCCCGCUUCUCACUGCAACCGGAUGAAAGACUUAAAUAACCCUCCUUCCCCACCCCCACUGCGCACAACCGCCCACUCAGCUCCAUCCGAACGAGGGCAGUCACUGGACUCCCAGGGCUAACCUCUUCAAGGUUGCUUCAGAGCUGUACCAUAACUACAGGCUCUCUACAUCAGCUUCUGGGCUGUUUUUAGCAGUACUCUUCAAUGAUUCACAAGAUGGUGGCUUUGCUUUCUAGACACACGUGGUACAACCCACUCACUGGCUCCAUUGCACCUGCCUGGGUGACUGACCUUAAGGGAAAAAAAAAAAAAAAACUCAUAGAUGCUCAAGCCAGCUGCCCUUGCUAUAGCUUUCUCCUUGGUUUUCUGCACAUGGGCAUUGAAUAAAUUCUAGUGGGUCCCAAUCCCCAAAUUCUCUAA
rnacentral:lncRNA from 1 species